GUUACGUGGAGAGCGCUGGGCUGGGCAUUGGGACAUCCUAUUCAGCCAAUCCACACAAAGGAAACAUACUUCCCCCUUGGCAGGCUGGGCCCGGAGCAUGCUAUAUGAUUGCCUGUGCCUUUAAUAAUGCUUCCCCGCUAAUGCUGGGAAAAUGAGCUGCCUAUUGUUAGCUGCUUUAAACCGAAGUUUCUUCUCGGCACUUAGUGGGAGGACAGAGCCCUUGAUCGUCCUGCAUUUGCUCUUGUAAUGGAAAACUGCUAUUGUGAUGUGGACUUUUCGGGGAGGGCCCACAAACUAUUACAAUGCAUCAUGUACCACACACAAUUCAUCUCUCCAUUCCCCAUCUGAUGAGCCCCUGCUUUGUUUCCAAUUCUUUGCUGAUGGACAGAAAAAAGUGCCAUUAUGAAUAUCUUGGGCUUAUCAAGAACCAGAGAAGCAACAUCUGAGCAAGUCAGAGGCUGAAAACAGCAGACAAACUGUGUAACUGAGAGAUUCCUGAAACUGGAGAUUUGUAAGGUUGGAAGAAUCUUGAUAUUUGCAUAUGCAAUUUGGAGAUUCCCAGAAUGUCCAAUUCAAAUGCAAAACUCACGUUCAUGAAUAAGUCAUGAGCAGUGACUUGGCUCCUUCUCUCCCCCCCAAUUAUCAUUUCUCCCCCUCCUUGAGUAAUCACCAGUCAGCCAGGCUCAUCAUUUGUUUCUGACAGAGGCAGGUAAAGGUGAGUUCCUCCAGAGUUGAACGUGCUAGUUUUCUUAGCUAAGCAUACUCUGUACUCACAUUCCAGCUGGAAAGAGGGAGUGAGCUCUACAGAUCCGGAGUGCUGGGGCUUGAUCCGAAUUUUCCAGGAUGAAAACGAAAUGCCAGCAGCCUUUUCUCCUGUCAGGAGAGGCUCUCAGGGCAAUGAUAGCUAA